rnacentral:lncRNA from 1 species
CACAUGUGGCUGCUUAAAUUUACAUAAAACUAAAUAAAAUGAAAAAUGCAGUUUUGAUGUGGUUUGGCUGUGUCCCCGCUAAAAUCUCAACUUGAAUUGUAUCUCCCAGAAUUCCUAUGUGUUGUGGGAGGGACCCAGGGGGAGUUAACUGAAUCAUGGGGGCCGGUCUUUCCUGUGCUAUUCUGGGAUAGUGAAUAAGUUUCACGAGAUCUGAUGGGUUUAUCAGGGGUUUCCACUUUUCUGUCUCCCUCAUUUUCUCUUGCUGCCACCAUGUAAGAAGUGCUUUUCACCUCCCGCCAUGAUUCUGAGGCCUCCCCAGCCACAUGGAACUAACCAGGACACCAGAGGAAGAAAAUCAGCAGACAGAAAAAUACUGGGGAAAAUAAAAUGCCACGUGGUUCUGUUCAGCUGAGCUUCUGCUCCCUCCAGCACCCCCACGUGGGACAUUUGUUUACCCCCCACGAUGCUGCUCUUGGAGAGUCCCAGGGGACAGGUUUCAAGCCCUUGGGGAUGCAGCCUGUCUAACUUAAUAUGCACAGCCGUUCACAUCCAGGGCACAGAGGCAGCCUGGCUUUCCCUGGAGGCCCACGGGGACCACAAUGCUGCAUUUGUCUGUGGAACUGAGAUUUAGCUGCACAUUCUUGCCUGAAUGCAGCGGGCCUCCAGCCACAGCCUGAUGGCAUGGGGGAUUCCAGGAGGGAUGUGCUUCAUGAGCCGGCAAUUGCUCUUCUUUCCAGUCCCCAGACCCAGCCAAGAUUACAGAUAGAUGCGUUCAUCGCGCGCAGGUGCUGGGGAAGCCAGUGGGACAUCACUGGCUACAUUCACCAACAGGAUUUUCCAACUGCAGUGUUUAUCGGUUUUUCAAACGAAUUCAACAUCUGUAUUCCUCACCCAUUUACUGAGUGGCUACAAUGUGUAAGGCAAUAUUCUCAGUCAUGGGGAGUUAGAAAAGGUCAAAGGCAUAUAAGAUAUGGCAUGUGCUCUGAGAGAACUCAUCAUCUAUCCAGAACCUACUCAUCACAUUUGGAAAGAGAAGAGAAACUAGCAUUCUAUGGAGUACUUACUAUGUGCCAGAUUUGGAGUGAGGCAUAGUAUGAGUGUUACUCAUUUACAUCUCAUGGCCAACCUCCAAUGUGGACAUUUAGCAUCUCCAUCUUACAAGUGAGAAAUUUCACUGUAGAGAGGUUAAAUAUCAUGUGUCAUUGAUUCUGUGACAUGUAUUAUUUUCACAUUUGAACAUCUGAAAUAUAGAUAUGUCUAAAAGGGCUUUUUUUCUUGGUAGUAAGAUAACUGUAGGUCUUUGCAGUAGUGUCUUAGAUUCUGUGAAAUAUGGUAUUUUGGCAAGUGUACAUGGCUAAGAACAAGUGGAAUCAGAAUUCAACUUAAGUUUGCUUGACUCCAAAGCUUAUGUGUUUUCCAGUAUAAUGUGCUGCAGUAUCAAUGGUCUGUAUGAACAAAGGCCAUAUCAUUUUUAUUGACAAAGUAUAGAAAUGGGGAAAUGGUGACUGAACUGGAACUUGCAUCAUCUAAUUCCAUAACUGAGGAGACAAUAGCCUGGGGACUGCAUGUAUCCCACAGGAUGUUAAAAAAUUGAGAAAAUGUUAUUUCAUGAUCUUCACUUCUCUGUUGAUUAUAACUUAUUUUUGAAGAGGCUAAAAUAAAUGGCAAACUCUUGUAUGGAUAAGAUAUAAAAGGCGAGUGUGAUGUAUUCCUCCAUCUGUUCUGGUGUGCUCCAGGCUGAGUGUGGUGCUGUUACCAACAGGGAUUCUUUAGGGGAUGUGACCAGUGGCCUCUUUACUGUUCUGGAGGGCCAUAAUAGGAGACACAGGCCAACUCCCUCUCCUACAUAACUGAGUUCUGGGAAGUCCCCAAGAGCAGGCCCAUGUGUGUUUAUUAUUGUCACAAUGCCCCGUGGCCAGCACUUGCAGAGAAGAAGCAAGGUCUGUUGAAUUCCACGAAUGACCUGGAUUCAGAAAGCAGUAGCAAGGGCUCCAUAGGGGAGGAAACAGCUGAUCCUGCUGCUGGCUUUUGCACACCAUAGGCUUGAUCUGCCUGGCUCCCAUAUGCUUAAACACAUUUGGUUCCAUAAUGGGCUUUGAUUAAGUCAUUUUCCCGAGCAGCUGAUGUGAAAAGCAGAGAACUGGAAGGGGGAUUGGUCAGGGGGGCCUUGAUAUCUCAGAUGGGAGGCUGUGGGGAAUAGUGGAAAGAGAACACCGCUGGUAAUCAGAACACCCAGGACAGGCUGGAAGCUCCCUCUCUCCUAACACCCAGGGGAAACCAAGUCUCAGAGGAACUGAGUGGCUUAUCCAGGUUGUCACAGCUGAUCACUGACAGCUAAGUCAGGACCAAACCGAGGUCUCUGCAGAGUGUGCCUAUUACCUUAUGAGGUCGUUUAAUC